UAAGCGGAGCUGAGCCUGGAAAACUGUCCAGCCUACACCACGACCAUCUUUGGUCUGACAAUUCUUCACAAGAGAUGUGCAACCAGGAAGCAGGCACAGGAAGCAUAAACAGAAGACAGCAGAGCACAGAUUUCAGAGGACAGUAUGAACAGGAUGUGCAUUCCAGCAUCACUGGGAAAAAAAAAGAAAAAAGAAAAAUCUCCAGUUUCAAGAUUUUAGAAAUGAUCUUUGGACAUGACAAGAGCGUCUGAUUUGAAAAUGUCAGUGGUGAAAGCUGAUGUGGGUGGAUGGGGUGAACACUGCACUCUUCUUGCCCACUCAGCUGAUGAUAACUUCAAAUACCACCACUUAUUAUACCCAGCCACUUCCCUAUGACAUACAACUUGCACUCGGAUGAUGACUGAUGAAAAUGGGCCAGGCUUUCCUUUGUGCCAUUUCUCUGCAAAACUGAAAUAUUGGCGCAGUUGCUGAGCAGUGAAUUGUUACACCUAAUACUUAAAUCUAUUUCUUAGAAAGAACAAGGGCCUAAGGAAUAUGGGCUAAGCUAAACAUGAGAGACAAGCAGCAAGGUGCAGCUGACAUGAUGCAUCAGUUUACUAUGACUUCCUCUUUUAUAUAUUACAAAAAUUUAAGAAUAGCAUCUUGUAUUAUCACAAUGUCUGCCGAACAGCGUAAAAUGAGCAAGCAAGAAAUUACUGCAAUAGCUCCAGUUAUUAAAAAUGCAUUAUUUCCUUAUUAACAAUUCAAAACAGAUGCCAAGGAUCAUCUCUGCUAGAAAUAAAACUGCUGGAGUGAAUAAAACAUCCAGCAAUUAGCUAAAAGCAGAUCAGAAAUGCUCCAGAUUUCACUGUAGUACACUCAUUAAUUGUUUCUCUUUCAAAGCAAAUUUCACUUUAAAUUCUGGGCUACAAAAUUAAUUCCUUUGAACAUUUUCUAAAUAAAGCUGAAAACCUAAAAUUAGAAUUAAGCAACCAUUCUGAGACUCUUCCAUUUCCAAUCAUUUCCAUUAAUACCAAACAAAUGGAAAGAUUUACAGCUAUAUUAAAUUACAAAUGGUCGGCCCAAUGUUAUAAAUCAGGGGUCAGUAACGGCUAGAGUGCCAAAAACAACCCAGCCUCAACCCAGGCCUCAAUUUAGUACACCCGAGGCACACAGAGGGGAGCUGUGAAGGGCCCGAUCCUCACUGCUGGUGGUGGUGCCUCUGGGCAGAUGGCCAGGGAGUGGCCAGGGUUGCACUGCCCCAGGCCCUUGCCCACUGUGCACGUACAGCCACUGCCACCACAGAGCCAAUGUUGGAGCUCCAGACUUGGUGUAGUUGUUUGCAGCCUGCCUGCCACUUGCUGCAGCUGCCCAGAGCCUGGGCCAGCUGUGGCAGCCUGCCGGGAGACUGGAGACAGCUGGGCCAGGUUCCAUAGUGGCGGUGGCUGCAUGCAUGCCUCGGGGCACAUGGCUGGGAAGGGGCCUAGGGCAACGCAACUCUGGCCUUUCCCCUGCUGUCCAUGCCAAGGCAUGUAUGCAGCCACUGCUACCAUGGAGCCCUGCUGAAACCUGGUGCAGCUGUUUGCAGCAUCCUGGCUGCCUGCUACAGCUAACUUGGCCUCUGGGCAGCUGCAGCAGGUGAAGGGCAGGCUGCAAAUAGCUGCACUGCAGUCCAGAGCCCCGGCACUGGCAGGGCUACAUGAGCACCUCAGGGUGCACAGUGUGCAAGGCACUAGGGUUGCGCUGCCCUGGGUCCCUUCCCAGCUGUGUGCCUUGUAGCAUGCAUGUAGCUGCCACUGCCAUGGAGCCCAGUCAGGGCUCUUGAGCUGUGAGCCGCUCAGGCUCCAUGGCUGCCCAGAGCCUGAGCUGGCUGUCGGGUGUUGAGAAUUGGCUUUGCAUGCUAUACGCAGGUAUGUGUGCUGGGGCUUGCCAACCCCUGUUGUAAAUGCUCCAGAAACUGAACUUCUAUUAAUGUCAGGGUCUUGUCAUGUGGUAAUUUUGGGUGGCUCCUGGAGCACUUAACAUCUGGACUGUCCACCCAGUAGCACCUGGAACUAGUUUUAAGCACUCGUUAUGUGGCUCAAAGUUACACCACUCCAGGGUAGCAUUCUCUGUGAUGCUUGUUACCCAGCCAGGGGCAACUGGUGCCUCCCAAGUCUGGGGGGGGCACCAGAUCUCCAAUGUGGGGGGCUGGACCUGAUGGACUCAUAAGGUCCCUUCCAGCCCUGAACUUCUGUGAAACUGUGCGCUGCUCACAGGGUAAUGUGUAACAAGGCCUUCAGAGAGAGUUUCGCAUGCAGAGCACUUCAAUGAUCAGGCCUGUAGUUGGCACUCUACUUACUGAAUAAACUGGUUGUUUAUAUGUGUAUGGCCUUAUAAUUUAGUACGCUCAGAAGCAACAUCUACAGCAAUUAAUGACUUAAGGUUAGACUAUAAUAUCCCUAUUUAUGAGGAUCAAUAUGGGACCACUCACAUAGCUGUACUCAUUGACGUGUGUCAAGGGAUCAAAUUCUAGUCCUUAAUUCAACUCUGGAAUAGAAUGAGGUGUUCUGGUACAACUAAGAAUGGAUUCUAUUUCCCACUGAGGAGCCAUGGAAAGGCAUUGGCUCUCUGACAACCCCUUGGCCUCCAGCUUGCUACCACCUUUUGAGAGAGACAGCACAAUCCCUACCCAUUCAGUUUAGCUGGUUCGUAUGUUGGGGGAUGGGACAAGGCUCCAA